AGCCACUGACUAACGCACAUUGUGCUGCUAAUGUCCCCACUGUGCGUGUGACAGCGGCUAA
rnacentral:pre_miRNA from 1 species